rnacentral:rRNA from 1 species
AUGCACGCUGGCUGCGUGCCUAAUACCUGCCAGUCGAGCGAACGGACGAGAAGCUUGCUUCUCUGAUGUUAGCGGCGGACGGGUGAGUAACACGUGGAUAACCUACCUAUAAGACUGGGAUAACUUCGGGAAACCGGAGCUAAUACCGGAUAAUAUUUUGAACCGCAUGGUUCAAAAGUGAAAGACGGUCUUGCUGUCACUUAUAGAUGGAUCCGCGCUGCAUUAGCUAGUUGGUAAGGUAACGGCUUACCAAGGCAACGAUGCAUAGCCGACCUGAGAGGGUGAUCGGCCACACUGGAACUGAGACACGGUCCAGACUCCUACGGGAGGCAGCAGUAGGGAAUCUUCCGCAAUGGGCGAAAGCCUGACGGAGCAACGCCGCGUGAGUGAUGAAGGUCUUCGGAUCGUAAAACUCUGUUAUUAGGGAAGAACAUAUGUGUAAGUAACUGUGCACAUCUUGACGGUACCUAAUCAGAAAGCCACGGCUAACUACGUG